ensembl:lncRNA
CCCAUGGCACCUCUGCCACCAUCUGAACCAGCUGCCCUGAGAAUCAUGGCCCAAGCCCUCCAGCUGAGGAUUCGGGCAGCCGCACCUCCCAUCACCUCGAUGACUGACUGGCCCUCCCACUAGGGCUUGUCUUCAUGGGCCCUCUUCCCUGCUGUACCCCCAGGACCUGGAAAAUGCCCCAAGUAGGGGCUCCGGAGCCUGUGAUGACUGUGGGUCCACUCGGAAAAUCAGGACAAUCUCCCCAUUCUCCAGGUCACUUGAUUAGCAACCUACACGCCCCCUUGCCGUGUAAGUGGGCUGUCAGCUUCCUGAGAAGAGAGACUGGCUUCACAUUCCCAGGGACAGACACCUGCUAGGAGCUUCGCCAACGCUCGUGCAUGAAUGAAUGACUGAUGGGGGGCCUGCCAACUUCUCUCAUUGCCGUGAGUGUCUUGGGCACUUCCUGGUGUCCAGACCCUUGUGCAUGCUUAUAUGUGCCGCUGAGAGAGACAGGGGGACACACAGACGGAGACAGAGGAAGAGCAUCAAACAGAGACACAGGAAGAGAUGGAGAGAGAGCCAGAGAGAUGGGAGACGCACAGAGAAACCCCAAAAGAGGGAGAAAAGGGAAAGUGAGCAGAGGAGGAGCCCUUGGAACAGCUUGAGCCCCCAGGGCAGGGGUGCCCACAGCAAGGUGCUGCUGCCCACUGCUGCUUCUCUCCCCUCACCCCUACUCUGCACUGAUCACACCACCUCCUUGCCAUUCACUGCACAUGCAAAGCUCUCCUACCUCAGGGCCUUUGCAUAGUCAGUUCCCCCUGCCUGGUAAUGCUCUCUGCCAGGUCUUGGCCUGGCUCUCUCUUUCUCCUCACGGCUUUCUCCUCACGGUGAGUGGAUUGCUGUUACAUUCAAACGAAAGAAUGUAAAUGAAAGGACUCAGUGAAGUGCCAUUCAUUCAUUCAUUCACUUAUUCACUCAACAAAUAAUUGUCGACGGACUACAGUGGAGCCAGCCCUGUUCUAGACCCCUGGGUGUAGAAAGACAGACUAAUGUCAUAGUUGAAGGUGGGGACUCUGGACUGCUCUGCCUUAGACUGGAUCCUGGCUUCCUCAGCCACUAACUGUGGGAUAGUUAAUUAAUAAGAAUACUGGAUUCAAAGGUUAUUGUUCAGUUUAAAUGAGUUAAAUAUUUGCAAGUCGUUUACAGCACGCCUGGCACAGAGGAGUCGCUGUAGAAGCCUUGGAUGGUACGAGAUCACUUUCUCUGACACGAACCACUAAGCAGUUAAAUUACGCUUUAAGAAGACAGCUGAAUAUCUUACCCUAAAAUAUAGCAGAAGAGUUAAAGGAACAGAGCAAUGAACACCAGUACGACCGGAUCCUUUGAAUAUGAAAUGAAGUUUUAAUUACUGAUCACUAACCGUUGAGAACACAGAUAUCUGGAAUGCCUGAAUUCAUUAGGUUCCAGGGUAAAGAUGAGUUCUACUGCUAUUAAAGCAUCUUAGGUUUCUUUUUAUUGAGCGCCAUUUUAAUUACACAAAUUAUACAUGAAUACAUUCCCUUUAUUAAAAAUAAUGAAAACAUCGAAUGAGGUUAAAGUUCCCUUUGACGUCGAUGGUACGCUGCAGAAACAUACGAGGGAAAAGCCCAGACCUCAGUGGCUUAAGUCAAAGUCCACCGCGAGGCAGUGGGCAUCUCGGUGCCACACACCCUCACUCACACCCCCACCGUGGCAGCUCCUCAACCAUCUAGAAUGUGUCACUAAGACAAGAAAGCAAAACGUGUACUAGACUGCCAUGGCAUCCGCCCCGAGGAUCACACACACUUCCCGUCCCUUUCCACCUGCCAGAGCCGGGCACGUGGCCACCCCCAGCUCCACAGGGUGAAGAAAGUCAAUCCUAUCAUGUACCUGACCUCACCACUUUCCAUGUGCGUGACCUUGGGAAAGUCACUUCAUGCUUCUGUGCCUCAGUUUCCUCAUCUGUAAAAUAAGAACAGAAAUACAGUACUGAUUUCAGAGGACUGGUAAGAGAGGUGAAUGAGAUGACAAAUGUAAGUGCUUAGAAUGGUGCUCAAUCAGUGUUAGCUGUGCUGAUGCUGAUGCUGGUGGAGACGAUAAUGACUCACGUCUAUAAACAAAGUAUGGUGUGUCUAAGAGUGAUACCAUAAUGCGACAUUGUUCUGUAAUUUAUAAGGAGUUGAAUUUUCAACACUAAUAAAGGAGUAAUCUUCCAUUGUAUUCCCUAAUUUUAGUGUGUCUGUAUAUAUACAUAUAACGUAAUGUAAAAUAAUAAAUAGAAU